CGCAUCUGUGCAUGCAGCAUAUCAAUAAGCGGAGGAAAAGAAACUAACAAGGAUUCCCCUAGUAACGGCGAGUGAAGCGGGAAGAGCUCAAAUUUGAAAUCUUAAAGGGUUUCCCUUUACGAAUUGUAGUUUAAAGAAGUGUUUUCUGUUGAGGUUUUGGUAAAAGUUCUUUGGAAUAGGACAUCAUAGAGGGUGAGAAUCCCGUAUUUGACCUUUACUUUCAACUCUUGUGAUACACUUUCAAAGAGUCGGAUUGUUUGGGAAUGCAGUCCAAAAUGGGUGGUAAAUUUCAUCUAAAGCUAAAUAUUGGCGAGAGACCGAUAGCGAACAAGUACCGUGAGGGAAAGAUGAAAAGAACUUUGAAAAGAGAGUUAAACAGUACGUGAAAUUGUCAAAAGGGAAGCGUUUGACACCAGUGUUGUUUUUCUGAAAAUCAAUUAAAGAACUGUUUAUGCUAAGCUGUUUAGACUUUAUCAGCUAUCUGCUUAGUUUUGAGCUUUUCUUUAAUGCACUUUUCAGUUAACAAGUCAACAUCAAUUUCUUUUGCUGUAAAAAAGCUUGAGGAAGGUGGCUUGAGAUUCGUCUUAAGUGUUUAUAGCCUCUUGCCUAUGCAGUCGGAGAGAUUGAGGUCUGCAGCGUAGAUCCUUCGGGGCUAAAUGCAUUUGUGCUAAGUUAUAGCAUUUUAUAGACAACUUGUUGACUAUGAUUUGUCUUGUAGCUUACUCGCUUAUGUUAUUUUACCUACGCUUAGGAUGUUGAAUCUGUGCGAGACUAC
rnacentral:rRNA from 1 species